rnacentral:rRNA from 1 species
AUUGAACGCUGGCGGCAUGGCUAAAACAUGCAAGUCGAGCGCGAAAGAGGAGCAAUCCUCAAGUAGAGCGGCGAAGGGGUGAGUAAUACGUUCCUACGUACCUCGAGGUCAGGGAUAGCCAGGGGAAACUCUGGGUAAUACCUGAUGUGGUCGAGAGAUCAAAGGCUUGCCGCCUUGAGAGCGGGGAACGUCCUAUCAGCUAGUUGGUGAGGUAACGGCUCACCAAGGCUUUGACGGGUAGCGGGUGUGAGAGCAUGGCCCGCCACAUCGGAACUGAGACACUGUCCGGACUCCUACGGGAGGCUGCAGUAACGAAUCUUCCGCAAUGCGCGCAAGCGUGACGGAGCAAUGCCGCGUGCAGGAUGAAGCCCUUCGGGGUGUAAACUGCUGUCAGGGUUUAGAAACACAAUGAUCAAACCCAAAGGAAGAGACGACUAACUCUGUGCCAGCAGUCGCGGUAAUACAGAGGUCUCGAGCGUU